GCACAGUUUGUUCCAAUGCUUCUGCCGUUUUCCCUAGCUUUUUAAGGGCCUUUUUAUUUUAAGAAACCGGGAUUUUUUUUCUUUUUACUCUCUCAUCUUUGUAAAGUGGUUUUAAAUCAGUUUGCAAACUCCUUCGCCAGCGUUGGAGGGACUAGAUUAACUCCAGGGCGCUAUAUGGUUACAAUUGCAGGUGAAAAGCUGGGUUCUGGCUAGCAGGAGCCCCUGCUACUUUGACAGCUGUCGCUUUGGCUGCACAGGAGACGAAUCGCCCUCCUUUUGGUGCCAGAAGAAGCAGGAAAUUAGCCAGGUUGCAAGUUGAAAAUCUGCCACUCCAGUGCUUUGAAUCCAAUAUGCCACACCUUCCAGCGGAGGAAUUGGAAAUUGCCAUCCAGGAUCUGUGUUCUAGGCGGCUGCUUAUGCUGAACCUCCAUACACUUUGUUCACUAUUGCCUUACAAAGAACAAAUGAAAUGGGGGAUUGAAAGCCAGAGAGAUCCGAAGCAGGACAGAGCUGAGCAAAAGAAUGCAGCUCUAUUCUCGCAAGGGAAAUUAUAAAAAAGUUCAUGUUCACGGUUACUAUCCACAUGACCGACAACGACCAAUGGAAAAACCGAACAACUCAUAAAGUUGUAUUGCAAAGUUGUAAAUUUUCAUAAACAACAACGGAUUUAUGGCCUUUUCCUCAUCACUAAGAAGAGGCAGGUCUUAGAGAGGCGCCAUCUUACCAGAGAGGCAGCCCUAGAGUUUUAAAGGACCUAGAGUUUGUACUAAUUUUAUUAAAAUUGCAAUUAACACAUUGACCAGCCACUGCACACAGCCGAGCGAGGGAACUUCUCUGCAGAUGCCAGUGUUAUUCUCCCUCUGUUUGUCUUGCCCUCUAUAAAGCCUCGCCUGCCUGAUCUUUUUACAUUUCUUUUACAAAAUACUGGAUCUGCCGGACUUUUUUUGCUUUAUUUUCCAGGAAUCAUUAUUAUUUUAUUUAUCUAAAAAAAUAUUUUCCCAUCCCCUGUGGCUCGCUCUCACCCGUAGGCACAGAUCGCUCCCGCUUGGAAGUUUCGCAUUGCGCCUUGGGUUCAUUACCAAAUAUUAUUUCUCUAAUGCGGAUUUCCGCGUGGCCAUGUAGGCGCAUUUCAGCUCUGUUGUGAUUUAAAGAGUAGCACACGCAGGAGCUCUUUUAAAGGAUGGUUUGUGCUUAAUUAAUCAACUCAACUGAAAAAUUAUAAGCUCGAGCUAGAGAAAGUGACUGAUUCCUUUCAAUCCAUCACGUAUGAAUUUCCCCCCGUUUGAUUGCGGAUGAAAAUGAUUUAUUUGAUCUAAUUCCUUUAUUUGUGUAAAUUAUUUUUAUUGUGCUUUUUUUGCGGUGUUCACUAAUAAAGAAACGCCAUUCGUUGUCAACAAGCAUAUUUAUUUUCUGUGUAACAUAAAACACAUUUAUCGUGGGAGAUACUUGAACACGGAAUCACUUCCAAAGAGAGUUCACACACAUUUUUUUUCCACUUCCAAUACUUACACGGCAUAUCCAAAUGUUCACAAUGAACACAGCGAAACACAUUGUAACAUACAAUUUUAUGAAUAAACUUUAGCCAAACCUUCAAGACGGAUUUAUAGAGUUCUUAACAAUACGUCAUGCUACAAAGUUUCCAAAUUAAUUACAUACUUCUCAAUUUAUGACAUGAUCUUACACAUGAGGUCUAUGACAAUAAAAAUGAUAAAAAAAAAGGUUCAAAUAUACAGCAUUUGUAGGAUUGUAGGAAAAUU